GAAGUUGCACUCAGCCCAUGCAGCGAUCACACCUUUUGUAAUUUAGUCCUCUCUGGUGAAUGAAGUUACUAAUUGAUAAUGCCUUUGCAAAGAGUGCGAUCUUGUUGUUGCGGAUGUUCCUUGAGAACUGGAACUCUGAUCUUUUUGAUUCUUAAUUUGGUUGGUGGACUCUCGUACCCAAUCCAAUGUUUAACAGUGACAGGCUGCGACGAAGGCCUAAUUUCUAAUAUCAUCAUGACCGUAUUCUCCAUCGCUACACUCGGUGUUUCUGUUUCUGGCAUCUAUGGUGUUUGUAAGGAGAAACCUCAUUGGUUGGUACCUUACAUGAUGGCUCAGUUAUUGGUCUUUAUGUCUUUGAUAAUCGUGAUGUUAGCUGUGGCAAUUUGUGGAGAAGUAUUUUUGGACGAUCUACUAAAAAUCAUGGUUGAUGAUAGAUUUACUCAUAAUGUAAGCCAAUCUGGAUCCAGUGGUGUAAUUUCUUUCAAAGUUUCAAGUGCUAUGUCCCUUGGUUACAUUUACUACUCUAUCAUUGUGGUGCGAAGCUAUUACAAAGAACUCCGGUCAGAAUAUCAUGAAGUUUGAGUUUCAGACAUUAAAAUACUCGCAUAAUCUAUUCCUCGUGAAGUUAUACGCAUAUCAUUAAGAAUCUACCCAUAAGAUAUCCAAAAAAUAAAAUGAAUUUUAUUGUAUCAAGAAGUUGCUAAUUAUAUGGGAAUUUUUUCAACUAGCACAUAUUCCGAUUUAAACAAAAUCAAGCUAGAUCGAGAAAUCGGAUCUUUAAAACCUCCGCAACCAUAAUUUCAAAUCAUCGAGUCCAAUUUUCAAAUUUUUGAAAAUUAAAAAAAUUGAAGAAAUUUUUUCAAAGGCAAAUGAUUGUUUUUGUUUUUGGUCAGAUAUCGUUUAUGGUGUGUUGACACGAUCACCCGAAUCGAAAACAACCGCAAUUUGACCUUUUUGAAGGCUCCGUCAAGUUUUCAAAUUCCAGAAAUUCGAAAUUGCUCCGGAGGGGUUCAAAAAUGAACUUUGAAACGUAGCAGUUGAAUUAAAGGAUUCAUUGUUAUUGGUUCCCUACGCCCAAAAAAAAAUUAUUUCAUGAAAAAUGUCAAAAAUCGCUGUUAAAAUAGCCUUAUCAAAUUUUUCAAAUUCAAAAAAAUUCGCAAAAAAAAACAAAAAUUUAACUGGAGGAUCUGAAAAUUUAGUUGCAGGCGUUUUAGGGCAUGCUCUCUCGAUCUACGAGUACAUAGCUAUAUGGUUUCGUUCAAAUCGGAGAAUGACGGUUUGAAAAAUUCUCUGAAUAUGUAAAAUAAGUACCUACCUAUAGUAAGUAGGUACAGGGUGUUCCAGAAUAACCUUUCACAUUUUGGUAACCACUGAUCUGUGUUCAAGUGGAGCUAGGGGAAUGGUAAAGGCGGUUCUAGGUAGCCAAAGCAUGCCGAAUUAUGUUUCAAUAGUUAUUUUUUGCCCUGGAGAAGUAGAUGGCUGUACAGUGUGCUUUUACUGUGAAGGCCUUUUUUAAAAAUAAAGGUUCCUGUAACUCUUUACUCCUUAUUCAUCAGUAACGAAGCUCAUUUUUAUCUAAAUGGUGAAGUGAAUAAUUGGAAUGUGCGCUUCUAGUGUACAAAGAAUCAGUUGAUAAUACUUGAGAAACAUCUAAACCUCCGCCAAGUUGACUGUUUGGUUGGGCGUGGCUAAAUUCGGUAUAGUGGGACCAUGUGUGUUUAAUGAAACAGUAACAGUGAGGGGUAAGGCAAAAUGUUAAACGAGUUUCUUGUUCCGAACUAAAAGACAGACGCGACGUAAUAGAGUUACUUACUUCCUUCCAACAUGUUGGAACUACCAGGGAUGUACACAUAUGUUUAGCGCGUGAGCACUUCAGUCAUCAAAUAAUUUUGUUAUGGUCGACGUGUUGAACCAGAAAUUUAAUGGCCACCUUGAUCCCCUGACUUUUCAGCCUGCGAUUUUUUUUAUGGAGUUAUUCCAAGUCAAAAGUGUAUCGAGAUAAAUCUAGGACUCUGAAACAGCUUCUAGGUUCAUGAGUCGCAACUGAUUGGAAGAGAAGUGUUCAAUAAUUUGAAAAAAUGUUCGGUUGAAUGUGUCAAAAAUGAAGGAAAAUAUCUCGAUGGAAAAAUUUUUAAAACUUCAUUUUUAAUGAAAACUCAAAUAUACGGUCUAAAAACGGCAUAUUUCUACUUCAUUUUGGUUGUAAAAGAAUUUUUGUAAACAUUUUUCUCUCAGAGUAAUAAAAAAAACAAAUGUGAAAGGUUAUUCUGGAACACCCUGUACAUAAUUAUUUUCAAUUCAGACUACCAAAUGUUUGUUUGCGUUGUUAAUUAAUGACUUCAAGUAAAUUAGGUACUUAUCUAUGGUAAUACCUAUUUUGAAUCAUUUAUUCGAAGAAAUAAUCAGAAUAAAUACGAUAAUGAAGGCACCUGGAAAUAAUCCACGUAAAACGCAGAUAAGAGUCGGAACAUCUCGACUAAGAAAAGUAAAAUUAUCUCCUAAUUAUAUUUUUCAUCGUCGAUACGAAUCAACUUUCCUGUUCAACUGACAUUCUACGAAAUUAACUGAAUUUCGCUCCCAAAAAAUAGUCUACUUGGCUGACACCGGGGCAAAAUAUUAUUAUUGCUAUUAGCUAGAUUAAAUCUUGCGAGUUGGACGCGAAUUGCGCAGUGAAAGUUUCUUAUUUGUAAUUUUACUACCCUUUUUAAACCUAUUGAAAAUGCAAAAGGUAAAUUCGUGCUGUUGUGGCUGUUCGCUAAAAACUGGAACCCUGAUUAUUCUCAUUCUUACUGUGGUUGUCUACGUGGCUUAAAGCACCGAGGCAAAGUAUUAUUACUGUUAGCUGAAUUAAAUCUUGCGAGUUGGACGCGAAUUGUGCGUGAAAGUUUCUUAUUCACUGCCUUUUUUAAAACACUAUUAAAAAUGCAAAAGGUAAAUUCGUGCUGUUGUGGCUGUUCGCUAAAAACUGGAACUCUUAUUAUUCUCAUUCUUACUUUGAUUCUUUCAAUUUUAGAAUUACUUGGAUGUUUCGGAGCGCCAGGUAAUCAGGCUGGAAAUAUCAUUGGGUUAAUUAUAAUCCUGGGUAUUACAAUCGCUGGCAUCUAUGCGGCUACGCAGGAGAAACCAGUGUUCUUAAUACCUUACAUGGUGAUACUGCUGCUUGGCUUGGUGGGUCUGAUAAUUUCAAUGCUUGCAGUGCUCAUUUUUAGCAGUGCUGUCAUCGGUUAUCUCGCCCAUCACGCUACUGAUGCGAAACAGGCCGAUGAAUUUGCAAAAGCAGGUUUUAUUGCUAUUGUCAUUACAGAAGUUUUCUGCGGCGGCUUCGCUGCUCUCUUUUACUACUGUUUCAUCGUUGUGCUGAGUUUCUUCAAGUCACUCCGAUCUGGAUCUCAGUAAUGGAAGUUACAAAAUUUUGCAUUUGCUUUUUAUACACUCGAUAUGUUAAGUUUUAUGUUAUAGAGUUGCUUACUUAAUACUUUAUAUUAUUAUUUACAAUCAAAGUUUCAUUAUAAUUAUGUUAUAAUUAGCUAUUGAGAAGACGAUGGCAGUUUUUCUUACAAAUAUAUACAUACUCUCUAUAAAUUGUUUUUUUACGUACACUGUGUGGAUAAUUUUGUUGUUUUUAUUGUGUUAAAAUUAUGUGUCAAUAGGAACUUGACAGAGGUGCGCCGCGCUAGUGUCGCCUUGUUUAUGAUUGGCUGAUGAAAGGUCCCAGUAUAAACAUUGGAAUGUAAUGUUGUGAAAAUUGAAGGAAAAUUGUUGAAAAUUGCUGAUAACAACGGGACCUUUCGUUAGUUCCGGUGUUUUUGACUACCAUUUCCUAGAUCGCGACAGUUGUCUUGUCAAAUCCCUAUUAUUAUGAGUACCUAAAUGACCGAUGGACAAAUAUAGGUAUAUUCGUGA